CCGAGCAUUACAAUACGGAGACCGAAUGGCAUGGUACGACCAGCUGAAAAUCUUUCUGUCUCUGCUAAGAAACCUGAUGCAGGAGGCCUUUCACCUGCUAUGGGUAAGGAAAAGGAACAAGGUGGAAGGUUGCUGCAAGCUAAUAUUUCAACUGAUCAGAAACUGGCAGCUGAAAGUCGUUCUGCCUCUGCUAAGAAACCUGAUGCAGGAGGCCUUUCACCUGCUAUGGGUAAGGAAAAGGAACAAGGUGGAAGAUUGCUGCAAGCUAAUAUUUCAACUGAUCAGAAACUGGCAGCUGAAAGUCGUUCUGUCUCUGCUAAGAAACCUGAUGCAGGAGGCCUUUCACCUGCUAUGGGUAAGGAAAAGGAACAGGGUGGAAGGUUGCUGCAAGGUAAUAUUUCAACUGAUCAGAAACUGGGAGCUGAAAACCGUUCUGUCUCUGCUAAGAAACCUGAUGCAGGAGGCCUUUCACCUGCUAUGGGCAAGGAAAAGGAACAAGGUGGAAGGUUGCUGCAGGCUAAUAUUUCAACUGAUCAGAAACUGGUUAUGUCAAAGCCUCCAGCUGUGGAGAAAGCUGC
rnacentral:lncRNA from 1 species